GACGUAGGGCGCGAGCGUUGUCCGGAUUUAUUGGGCGUAAAGAGCUCGUAGGCGGCUUGUCGCGUCGACUGUGAAAACCCGCGGCUCAACUGCGGGCCUGCAGCCGAUACGGGCAGGCUAGAGUUCGGUAGGGGAGACUGGAAUUCCUGGUGUAGCGGUGAAAUGCGCAGAUAUCAGGAGGAACACCGGUGGCGAAGGCGGCCGACUGGCCGAGUGCUGACGCUGAGGCGCGACGGCGUGGGGAGCAAACCGG
rnacentral:rRNA from 1 species